rnacentral:rRNA from 1 species
AUAAUGGGUCAGCGACUUAUAUUCUGUAGCAAGGUUAACCGAAUAGGGGAGCCGAAGGGAAACCGAGUCUUAACUGGGCGUUAAGUUGCAGGGUAUAGACCCGAAACCCGGUGAUCUAGCCAUGGGCAGGUUGAAGGUUGGGUAACACUAACUGGAGGACCGAACCGACUAAUGUUGAAAAAUUAGCGGAUGACUUGUGGCUGGGGGUGAAAGGCCAAUCAAACCGGGAGAUAGCUGGUUCUCCCCGAAAGCUAUUUAGGUAGCGCCUCGUGAAUUCAUCUCCGGGGGUAGAGCACUGUUUCGGCAAGGGGGUCAUCCCGACUUACCAACCCGAUGCAAACUGCGAAUACCGGAGAAUGUUAUCACGGGAGACACACGGCGGGUGCUAACGUCCGUCGUGAAGAGGGAAACAACCCAGACCGCCAGCUAAGGUCCCAAAGUCAUGGUUAAGUGGGAAACGAUGUGGGAAGGCCCAGACAGCCAGGAUGUUGGCUUAGAAGCAGCCAUCAUUUAAAGAAAGCGUAAUAGCUCACUGGUCGAGUCGGCCUGCGCGGAAGAUGUAACGGGGCUAAACCAUGCACCGAAGCUGCGGCAGCGACGCUGAUGCGUUGUUGGGUAGGGGAGCGUUCUGUAAGCCUGCGAAGGUGUGCUGUGAGGCAUGCUGGAGGUAUCAGAAGUGCGAAUGCUGACAUAAGUAACGAUAAAGCGGGUGAAAAGCCCGCUCGCCGGAAGACCAAGGGUUCCUGUCCAACGUUAAUCGGGGCAGGGUGAGUCGACCCCUAAGGCGAGGCCGAAAGGCGUAGUCGAUGGGAAACAGGUUAAUAUUCCUGUACUUGGUGUUACUGCGAAGGGGGGACGGAGAAGGCUAUGUUGGCCGGGCGACGGUUGUCCCGGUUUAAGCGUGUAGGCUGGUUUUCCAGGCAAAUCCGGAAAAUCAAGGCUGAGGCGUGAUGACGAGGCACUGCGGUGCUGAAGCAACAAAUGCCCUGCUUCCAGGAAAAGCCUCUAAGCAUCAGGUAACAUCAAAUCGUACCCCAAACCGACACAGGUGGUCAGGUAGAGAAUACCAAGGCGCUUGAGAGAACUCGGGUGAAGGAACUAGGCAAAAUGGUGCCGUAACUUCGGGAGAAGGCACGCUGAUAUGUAGGUGAAGUCCCUCGCGGAUGGAGCUGAAAUCAGUCGAAGAUACCAGCUGGCUGCAACUGUUUAUUAAAAACACAGCACUGUGCAAACACGAAAGUGGACGUAUACGGUGUGACGCCUGCCCGGUGCCGGAAGGUUAAUUGAUGGGGUUAGCGCAAGCGAAGCUCUUGAUCGAAGCCCCGGUAAACGGCGGCCGUAACUAUAACGGUCCUAAGGUAGCGAAAUUCCUUGUCGGGUAAGUUCCGACCUGCACGAAUGGCGUAAUGAUGGCCAGGCUGUCUCCACCCGAGACUCAGUGAAAUUGAACUCGCUGUGAAGAUGCAGUGUACCCGCGGCAAGACGGAAAGACCCCGUGAACCUUUACUAUAGCUUGACACUGAACAUUGAGCCUUGAUGUGUAGGAUAGGUGGGAGGCUU